GCUCCAUUCGUCUAACGGUUAGGACAGCAGAUUCUCAUUCUGCAAAUACCAGUUCGAUUCUGGUAUGGAGUACCG
rnacentral:tRNA from 4 species